UACGUAGGGGGCUAGCGUUGUCCGGAAUCAUUGGGCGUAAAGCGCGUGUAGGCGGCUCGGUAAGUCCGCUGUGAAAGUCGGGGGCUCAACCCUCGGAUGCCGGUGGAUACUGUCGGGCUAGAGUACGGAAGAGGCGAGUGGAAUUCCUGGUGUAGCGGUGAAAUGCGCAGAUAUCAGGAAGAACACCAAUGGCGAAGGCAGCUCUCUGGGACGGUACUGACGCUGAGACGCGAAAGCGUGGGGAGCAAACAGG
rnacentral:rRNA from 1 species